AUUGAACGCUGGCGGCAGGCCUAACACAUGCAAGUCGAGCGGAUGAAGGGAGCUUGCUCCUGGAUUCAGCAGCGGACGGGUGAGUAAUGCCUAGGAAUCUGCCUGGUAGUGGGGGAUAACGUCCGGAAACGGGCGCUAAUACCGCAUACGUCCUGAGGGAGAAAGUGGGGGAUCUUCGGACCUCACGCUAUCAGAUGAGCCUAGGUCGGAUUAGCUAGUUGGUGGGGUAAGGGCCUACCAAGGCGACGAUCCGUAACUGGUCUGAGAGGAUGAUCAGUCACACUGGAACUGAGACACGGUCCAGACUCCUACGGGAGGCAGCAGUGGGGAAUAUUGGACAAUGGGCGAAAGCCUGAUCCAGCCAUGCCGCGUGUGUGAAGAAGGUCUUCGGAUUGUAAAGCACUUUAAGUUGGGAGGAAGGGCAGUAAGUUAAUACCUUGCUGUUUUGACGUUACCAACAGAAUAAGCACCGGCUAACUUCGUG
rnacentral:rRNA from 1 species